AACGAUCGGGAGAAGGAUCCCCUGAUGGUCCAAGCCAUUAGUCUGCGCCUGUGUACAUUUCCACAUCCUGGAUGGGACCGAUGAUUUAAUCAGCUAAGAAUCGUCAAGGCAGAAGAGCUUUUCUGAAUGCAUCAUUGAUUUCCAUGAAGACCAAACUUCUUUCAGGUUGUGGCCCCCGUCUCCAUCGCAGGAUCACUUCCCUCCAGCCAACAGAAAAACGACCACCCCGGGAUUAAGGGGAUGAUUUUGUUGCUUCUGGAAGGAGGGUGGUGAAUUGAUGUCUGCUUUUUAGCUGUUGAAUCCAACGACGUGGGAUAAUUUUUCUGAUUGGCAAUGAAGAAGCUCAACAAUGCUUGUCUCCCUUUGGUGGAAGUGAAAUAGAAUACGAAUUGGGUAGUACCUGUUGCUAUCUGACUUUUUCCAGAUACCAUUUCAAGACAGUUGAAACACCCAAGCUUGUUCCAAAAGAUGCCUGACAAAUUACACUUUAAAUUCUCAAAUGUGACUCAGUGUAAUGUGCCUGCGUCCUGCGGGUGGAGAGGCCUGAGGCUGGCAGUGGAAACGCCAGGGUUGCUCCGUGGGGCUGGAAAUAAGCAAUGGACACAUCUGCACAGUAAGUCUUUGAUGCUCUUUUUUCACCCCCUUGCAGAAAUUUGGCGUUUUCCGAAUUGCCUUGGUAUGCUGGACAGAAUUCCAUAUUCUAGAUCUUUCCUAGCAAUCCAAUGUUUCCACUGUCCUGUGUCACUUACCAUGACUCAGUGAAAGCAUUUUCAUAAUAUAUAUCAUAAGUUUAAAACUAGUUUUGCCUAGUAAUGUCACUCAUAAGACUCUACUAAAAAAUACCAAAAGUGAAGACUCAAGAUUUGUGUAUAAGGCUACUGAACACCUUGCUGACCAGCUAUUUGGAGCCAGAACUCGCUCAUGCUGCCUGCCGGCUGCUUUUCCAUUGUGACCGGUCAGCACGGUGUUUAAAAUUACUUAGUGUAAGUGUAGACACGAGUUAUCUCAUGAUCAGUCAGCAAGGUGUUUUAAUACAGUAUCAUAUCAUUUCUAAUAGUAACAAAGGAGGAAUUUAUAUGUCUUACAGAAGAGAAAUAACUUAGAUUCUAGAGGGAUGACUAUAGAAAUAUGCAAGCUUUCCAGGCACAAUAAAACACAUUUAGUUAAUAAAAGUUCUACUUCAGAGGGUAUCAAAGAAAUAACACACAAAG